CCCGAGCCGCGCGCUCAUCCUCAGCGGGCGGCUUCCUGCGCGGCGCGGGGCGGCGCGGGGCGGUGCGAACGCUCCAGCACGACCUCGUCUAGCGACGAAACUUUUUUGAAGUGGAUCAGCAUUUUCCAGAUCACGCGGGGGACCGAAAGUUUUGGGUAGCGAACAGGGCUGUGUAAACGCGUUCGGGUUUGCACGCUGCAGAUCCGCUCGCUCUUGAAACUUGUUCGCCAGUCUCCUAGGUUCGAGUCAGGGGUGGGUGCCAGGUGGACCCUGGCUUCUCUGGGCUCCUGUCCGUUCGCCACGCCUCGCAGGGAGUUCGGGGAGUUCGGGGAGUCCCCGGCAGCUCCCGCUUCCGCGCUGGGCUGUUAGACUGGUGUGAGGAGCCGCCCGGCCCUGCGCCCCACAAAGCGGGGUGCCUGGGAAUCACCUGAGGCGCCACUGUCACCUGGCACCAAUCCUGGGCUCCUACAUGGGGGAAAGGAACAAAGAAACCUUAACCUUCGCUCCUAUUGUAAGACGAUGGUGCAUUUUGGACAAUGUGAGCUUUUUACAAAAAAAUUCACAGAAAAAAGAUUUGGGGGGGGCAGGGAAGGUGACGCAGCAGAGGUGACCAGGACGCUGUGUGUUACCCUGAGAACCAGUUUAGCUCGGUAGCAGUGUUGGAGGCCGCCUCUCCAGAGGGAAGCUGGGGCCUCGUUUCUGGUUAAGAGGUCACUACACAAGGGAAGCCUCCACUUCCGCUGAAGGCAGGCGGGAGUAACAGCACCACGGGGCAGGGCUGGCUGUGUUUUAAGGUGUGAAAGGGGGAAGAAGCAUGAGAUUACCUCUAACCGAGCUGGGAAGUACUGGGAGGCAAACUAGUCUGGGGUGUGAGUUAAAUUCCUAGCCUGCCUGCCAUUCCAAGUGAUUGGGAAACCAGCUACGAGUUUGAGAUGCAAAUCCAGGGGCCAUCAGCAUGUAAAUGGAGUGGGAUUAAUCCGAGAGAGCUCUGAAAAAACUGAAGGACACCUUGGACAGAGCUCUGCUGAAGCCGGAAAUGGAAUGUCUGGGAGAGCCUGUGGGAAGCAAGUGUGCCCAGAACCAGUCCUUCUUUCCGGUAGCCUCCCUGGCCACAGCGCGUCUGUGGCACUGAAGCUUGUCUGCCAGCCUGUCUGUCCAAGGGCCUCGUGCAUCCUAGGAAGCACUGCCAGUGAGCCCUGAAACGUGCCGGCCCUUGAAACCAGAGCCCGACC
rnacentral:lncRNA from 1 species